AAGUCGUAACAAGGUUUCCGUAGGUGAACCUGCGGAAGGAUCAUUAAAAGAUUUUGUUUUUUGGGGUUUUUAAUCUCAAAAAAUAAUUCACCUUUUGUGCAUUGUUAUUAGAUAUACUUUGGUUAGAGCUUUGAUUUCAUUUAUUGGAAUCAACUUCUUGCUGACUCUAUCCUUUCUGAGGACAGUUGGCUAUGAAGCGGCCUACCAAGGUUUUUUAUCAAACACAUUUAAUUCAUCUGACCUAAAAACAAAUAAUUAAAUCAUAACUUUCGACAACGGAUCUCUUGGCUCUC
rnacentral:misc_RNA from 1 species